UAAAACAGUCUCACUGCUGUGAGGCCACGGGAAGGAGAAAGGACAUGCCCAGGUGCCCAGCACAGGGAGAGCAGGGCUGGUCUCGUCCCCACAGCAGCAUUUGUGUGAAGGACCUGCAGCCAGUCAGAAAUCAGCCCCUAUGACACAUCAGGAUUUAUAUCCCAGGUGGCUGCAAUCACCUCACAGUUCCCCUUGCAAAGCCAUUAUUUGGCUGGUGGAGAGGUGCUUGGAGGGACACCCUGCCCUGCUGAGAGAAAUGACAUUUCCUUGGGCUCUCUUUGGUGUCUCCAUCAUCCAUUGGUGUCUCUGUCCUGGCUGGGAGGCGCUGGUGGCUGCUCUCAGGUUAAUGCGAUUUUAAAGUGCCUGAACUGCAGGAGCAUUUGUUCCCUGAUGGAACACUGAACUCCCAACUUUUCUUCCUUCAGCUUGCACCUAAAACCUGCCUUGUCUCCAGCAAUCAUGUUGUGAGCCCUCUGAUCUCCACAGGCAGGAUGACUCCAGGUUCUUUAUCACAAUUCUAACUCUCUAAGCAAAUUAUUCCUUUCACUUGAGAUGCCUGCUUGGCUCUUCUACCUGAAGAAAGACAUCCAUGGAGGGCUGUGUGCUGUUGUCUCCUCCCCUAGAAAUUGCAGAAGAAAGGAUGAAAGAAGUUAAUUUCUGUGUACAAAAGAAAAACAGGAUAACCUUGCACAUUUUAAGCUCACAACACAACAGCCACAAAGAGAACAGCAAAGCCUCUGUGAGGAUUUUUAGACCUGCUAUACAUAAUCAGCCUUCAGCCCUGCUUACAACCCAAGUGUGACAUUGUGCAAGUGCUUAGGGCCAUUCCAUCAGUGCCCACAGAGCGCUGCAGAUCUGCCACUGGAGCUGCAUUUGCUGUUUGUACAGUAAAGCCAUACCUGGCCACAGCCCCACACAGGAAAAGUUGUACAAGGAAAUGCACUUUUUUGGCUUUUUUUCUUCUUUUUUUCCUUGCAAGAACAACGGAGUCAUUUGGGGCUUUGGCUGGCACAGCUAUGCUGGGGAAAUCACAAAAAUCACAAUUCACCAUGCUCCUAGCUGGCAUGGCUGUUAGCAGAAGUUUGGAACAGAGUCCCAGUCUCACAGGGCUCUCCCAGCUCAGGAAGAACAGAUUGCCUUUAAACUCACUGAUCCCAGGCAGCUCGGGCCUUUGGUGCUUUCCUGACAGCCCUGGGAGCUUGUGUGAGCUAGAGCAGGCUUUGCAGAGCUUUUCUAAUGUUCUGUGAUUUGUUUCAAACCAGAAUAUCCUUCCUUCAUCCCUAAGUGCUCCUACCAUGUUCCUUUCUGGAGCAGACUGCAGUACUUCUCCAGAAGGUCAUUUGUAACCAUUUUUGCUUUAACCCAUAACCAAUUAUUUAUCUGAUACCAGAAUUUGGAAUAGGUUGGGAAAUUGGAUCUUGUUCUGGUAACCUUCCAGGCUUUAAAUGUGGCGUAGGAAAAAAAACAGGUCAACCCUCCAAACAAAAAAAUAUUAUCCUUCCAUGGCCAUACAGUACCCUGUCCUCUUAAAAAAAAAAAAAAAAAAAAGGCAAAACCAAAUACAGAGAACAGAGGUUGUGUAUUUCAACAUUAAAACUUCUAUAUUUGUCCUGCCAAGAAACACAACAGUAUUAAUUAAUUUUGUACUUAUUUAAAAGUUUUAGUACUAUGUUCCUUCCAAACCAAAUAAAAACCAAUAUAAAAUUCCUCUUAUACUGAAAUAAUGUACAAAGGGGAGCAUUUGGGACAGUCUACCUAAGAGUGGAGCACAAGCACCAUCCACUUAACCUCCGAAGUGCUACCUUGUAAAUUUAUUUUCUUGUACCACAUUCUCUGUUUUUUCAUCACUACUCCCCAGGUUAUUCCCCAGCAGCAUUCAGAGUCAUAACAAAAUAAUUUUUAAUUCUUUGCUGGUUGGAUUUCAGCUAAGUCCAGCCUUUCUGAUGCUGUGUUCAGUGAUGUUUUCCUGGUGGAAAGACGUGGGGUGGGGCUGCUGCUCCUGAGCCCUCUGUGCUUGUCUGCCAGGGAGGAGGAUUGGCCAAGCGCCUUUGUGAGGAUGUACUGGCUGUCUGCCAGAGCCAAUGUGUGGUGUCCUGAACACAUCCCUGCCCUCCAGGGUCUCCUCAUCCCACUGGGGUCCUGUCUAAAGACCACCACUCUUGCCUUGGCUAGAAGUAGCAGCCACUUAGAGACUGGGAUAAAGACUGGGACAAAUUUUCCCUGCAGAUCCCCAGUGAAGCUGCUUUUGGUGUUUAUAGAAAUGCACCAAGUGCAGGUGAAUGCUCACACCUGCCUUGUCCCUUGUAUUGCUGCAGUUCCAGCUGUGGGUGGGUGGGAUCUGCCCCUGAUGCAGCUGUGCUCACACCUGCCCUGCUCCUGGCACUGCUGCAGGGAACAGGUAAGGAGCUGGGGAUGGAGCAGGGUCAGAGCUUGGAGAGGCUCAGCCUCAGGCAAACGUGAGCCAGGCCAUGUUGUCCUAACACAUUUUGGGAGAUAAAAGUGGU